rnacentral:lncRNA from 1 species
ACCCUGCAUGUAAGCACGCGCAGGACCGCGUGCGGUGACCACCCACCUCAGGCGCAGCACCAAAUUCUUUCAGGGCCGCCAUAGCCGAUGAGGUGUAGGUACCCGUGUCCUCAUCGGGGCUGUUGUGGUCGAUCGCAACGCGUGCACAGUAAUACACGAACCUCGGUGACAGCUCUAUGGGGAUGAUACGGUGGGUGCGCACCACGUAGUCCAUGGCCGCUGUGGAGGCGAAGGCCACACAGGCGCCCACGUCAUACUGGUUACGUUUCACGGGCCAGUUCUGGGCGAGGUCCUUGGAGGGAGGCAGCGGUUCGGUAGGUCCAGCAGCAAGCUUCAGCUUGGGAUACUCCGCCAGCUGAUGUUCCGGCUGGGGCUUGAAGUUAAGCUUGAACUGGCGGACUGACAUCUUGCUUGAUUAAUUGCUUGAAUGUAGCCUGUUCGUCUUUCUGUUGUCGUCGACAACAGCAGUUGAAGCGGUACAAGUUGUACUCAACGCAAUCAGGGCCUGGGAUUCAGAAGCAGAACACUUUGCUUAGGUUUAUGCUUUAACUUGCAGCUGCUUAUAUAUGGGGAGAGCGCCCGCCAAGCUGUCAGAAAUCGUACCUUUGCUGCCUGGCAUGAGCUCGAAGUUUCGUUUGUUAACUAACCCGUUUUGGAUGGCCGACCAGUUUUUGUCGUAUUUGACCUUCAGAGAGCCCAACGUACUCCGCAUCCUCUACGCAUGUAUGUAAAAAGUCAAAGUCAAUUCGGCGUUACUGCGCAGGCAAGUAGUAGCAUGUAGUAAUCGACAAGCGCACAACAGAAGUAAUACCAUGCACGGGACGGCAUGCGGCCUCAAAGGGAUCGCCGCCCACCUACCGCGCCGAUGUGUCGCUUUUACUUCCAGUUGGCUUCAUUCUUGCGUAAAGCACUUAACUUCAGUCCACUUACCCAGAAAUAUUUCCCGCUCUCUCCGCUUCCGUCGGUGUUCCUGCAAUUCGGCGGGCUUUUCGUUGGAACAUGGACACCUACAUGCAUGCGCAACUUCAUUAAUGCGUUUAUGUGUUUUAUGUAUACAUAUAUUUCUGUGUGAAACAUAAAUACUUCGGAAAUGCGAACAAAAGUGCUGCUAUUGACUGCAUAUGACGUAUGACAUUGUAUGAUCCUGUGCUAAGCGACCGGCGGAUCACUGCUCCGUCGCUCGGCUGUAUCCUGACGCGAUUAGUAUAUAAAUUACUACAAAAAAGAGCACGAAACUGAAUAAGCGGUUACGUGCUAUUGCAUUGAAUUACACAGGACAGAUAGGCUGCUAGCGGGCUGCGCUGGUUGGCUUAUUACGGCUUAUUUGCAAUCCUGUGACGAUAAUGCGUAUGUGUGUAGCAGGCCGCAAGGAAGGCAGCGGUAGUUGCUGUUAAACAGGUCUGCCUUGUUAAGGGAACUGGUGAGGGAACUGCAAGCAAUCGUUGUGUGAGUUUAUUUUGGAAUACAUUCAUUCCAAGAAAAAAAAGCUUGAUCCGCGGACCUACCUAGGUAUAUAUAGAUAUAUCUGGUGGAUACUAAAGCCGGCAAGCUAUAAAAUCUGAAUCGCAAAUGUGUGGACCUGAUAUAUGCAUUAGCCUUGACUGGCUUCAUUACAUUUUCAAAAAGUACAUAAAUUUAUUUCUCAUAUCGUGUAUGCGCCAUUGCUUUGGGCUGGGACAGAACGAUUCUGCUGCCUCCCUGUGCCGACUGUGCCGAGGUCAUUAAUUCGUAACAUUCCGACCUGAUUAAUGCAUUUCGUUGAAUGCGUUGCAUGCAUGCUGAAAAUAUAAUUUUUUUUCUAUCUGAAAAACCCUAAUUACACCACAACGGAUCCAUUUGAAACCAAGAUGUGUGUGUGGUGGUGUGUGGUGGUGUGUGGUGGUGUGUGGUGGUGUGUGGUGGUGUGUGGUUGUUACAGUGGGCUCCAGACUCAAGAAGAUGUGCACGGUGGCAACACCACCCACUCCUCAUUCACGCACGUCAGGAGGUCAGCAGUGCGUGGCUAUAGGGUUACCAGGCGACUUCUAUCUCCCGAUUCAUCCAUCCCAUACAAUUACUAUGAUCCAUCAGAUACUUCAGAGCCCAUCGAUUCAUGGAUUGGCGGUUCUGUUAGUCUGCAUUUAAGCGCAAGCAGAAGAUGACGCCGGCGCUGAUCUAAAUCCAUCCAGCCUAAUUUACGCUGAUCAGGUUCAGCUUCUGUCCGGUGGUGGGCAGAGCCGUGCCCCUGUUGUCCGCAGCCUGCACCCCGUCGGGGGUAUCGGUGUUGACCACGUUGAGCGAUUUGCCGUUGGCCAGCUUGAGCUGCGCAACCUUGAUGUACGCAGACGCCUCGGUGGGCAUAAAGCCCACGCCUUGCACACUCAGCUUGCCGCUCACAGUGAUCGACUGCUCCGUACGCUGUUCCAACGCUUGGGCAAUGUCCUUAGCCUGCUUGUCGUAGUUUGAAUUGGCGUUGCGCAUCUUCUCAACCUCCGUCUUGUCAUAUCCGGCAUUCAUGUGCACACCGAACCAGCUGAGGACAGGUACGUUGAAGCCACCAUCGUAGUGCUGCUUCGCUUCCUUGUAGGUGGAUUUCUCGUCCUCGCUCAUGUUUUCGAGCAGCUUGGAUUCCAUUUCCAAAAUGUGGGCACAGGUCACGGCCCGCAUAGUCAUCGUGAACGUCAACUCGGCCCAUGCACCCUUCUGGACUCUGAUACCCACAGAGAUGGUGUUUGUGUAACCGGUCUGGCAAUCCUUCACCACGCCCUGCACCUCCUCACUUGCGGUAAGGGAAAGAGACAACAGGCGCAGCUUCUGUCCGACAAUAGCCCCCAUGUAGUACUUGCUUGUCGACUGGCUGCACGUGUCGUUGCCGCCUCCGGCAGGUGCAACUGGCCGUGUGGGGUCGACCACCAAGCCCGAAUGCUUGCUAGGCACGCACACCUCUGUGGGGCGCAUAUGCAGAUGGUGUAAGAUUGUUAUAUCACGGCAUUUUCGGAAGGUUAUCUAACCCCUUUGGCUCCCCGAAGGGCGAAAGAUCCGAUCAUGGGAUGCAGAUCCCGUGACAAACCCAGGAUAUUACAGUUUCCCCCCUCUACAGAACGAUGUCCUAGAUCUUUUAUCUCUCAAGUUCCCUGUGGGAUGACAGCUUGCGCAGGAUCUAUAAUUGCCGCCUCCCGGGUGCUACCUCCUCCGGCAUAGAUACCGAACCGAUUUUUUUAUCCGAACGGUGGAUGCAAAUGUCUUUUUGAUACACCACCAGGAUAGUGCAAAGAUAGCGACAUGAGACCGCAGAGCAGCGGGCAUAUGCCACCAGCAGCCAUUUGGUGUAGUGCGUUUUUUUCAAUCCGCAACACGUAAUUCCUUAGCCACCGUUCAGGUAACCAAUUUGUGCACGAUCCGCGUGCGUUUGGAAGCGUUCAUGUCCUACAUGAGCUAGUUGUUUAGUUAAGAGUGUGUGUGUGUGUAUACGUUACUUCUCUGGCGUAUACAGUACUGAUAGUCAUCGCCAAACGGGCAGUGCAGGCAUUCUAUUACAACAGUGAUACUAAUCAUGGUACAGCUCCAUGCAUACUUACGCUUCUCCACCACAAGCCCGAGCUUCGCGGCCUCCUUACGCUUGAGCAACUCGACGGUUGCGCCAUUAUCUUCCACCACCGCAAUGGCCCAGCCGUCCGAGCGCUCGGCAAAGUCGUACGGCAGGUAGCCGUACCCUUCGUGCCCCCAGCUCGGGCCCCAGGAGUUGCGGAACUUGAAUAGCUUCUUGGCAUCAUCGUAGCCCACAAACAAGACGCAAUGGCCACCGAUGCGGUCACCCUUGGGCGUCUUAAUGACGCCAGUGGACUGUACAUCCUCGUCGUACAAAUUCUCGUAGCAUGUAAAUCCCGCAACGACGGGCAUGCCGGCGGCGAUGGCGACCUUCAUAGAGCGGAUAUCUGUGCCUACACGAAUGGCGCGAAGGACCUGGAUAUCAAGGCCCGCAAGGAAGGCGGCCUGCGAGGGCUCCUCGCUGUUCUGAACAUGGCCGCCACAAGUGCCGUACCGGCACAGCUCCUGCACACGGACACGGACACGGGUACACAAACACCCGUUGCUGCACCGAUAUGACCUCUCUAAUAUACUUGAAUGAAGGCAAUGCCUUUGCGUGCCUGACAACUAGUGGUUUAGAGCUAGCUUAUUAUGCAUACCACCAAAAAGGACUGAGCCAAGCAAAAGUAUUAUCCAGUAGCAGUGAUUUUAUUUGGAUAUGCACACACAUUGGUUAUUAUUUAUGCCGACCCGCGCAUAGUUGCAUGUAAAUGGGCAACAAGCACACAUAACCCUGCAUGCAAGCACGUGCAGGACUUAGUGCGAUGACCACCCACCUCAGGCGCAGCACCAAAUUUUUUCAGGGCCGCCAUAGCCGAUGAGGUGUAGGUACCCGUGUCCUCAUCGGGGGUGUUGUGGUCGAUCGCAACGCGUGCACAGUAAUACACGAACCUCGGUGACAGCUCUAUGGGGAUGAUACGGUGGGUGCGCACCACGUACUCCAUGGCCGCUGUGGAGGCGAAGGCCACACAGGCGCCCACGUCAUACUGGUUACGUUUCACGGGCCAGUCCUGGGCGAGGUCCUUGGAGGGAGGCAGCAGUGUCUCCGAGGGCAGGUCCGCAGUG